UUGAGAACAAUCUUAAGAAAUAGGGAG
rnacentral:piRNA from 1 species